UACAGAGGGCUCAAGCGUUGUUCGGAUUCAUUGGGCGUAAAGGGUGUGUAGGCGGCGCGUUAAGUCGGGUGUGAAAUUUCGGAGCUUAACUCCGAAACUGCAUUCGAUACUGGCGUGCUUGAGGACUGGAGAGGAGACUGGAAUUCAUGGUGUAGCAGUGAAAUGCGUAGAGAUCAGGAGGAAGACCAGUGGCGAAGGCGGGUCUCUGGACAGGUCCUGACACUGAGACACGAAGGCCAGGGGAGCAAACGGG
rnacentral:rRNA from 1 species